GGUCACGUGACCUGUCGAUAGUGAAUGUCAUUCCAUAGAUUUUUUAAUUUUCGUUUGCAGAAGAAGAAUCAACACGCUACAUGACAUCCAAAACAAAACGGUCUCAAGUCGCCGGCAUUCAGAGGUUUCCUGCAACCCGCUCGAUGUGAUCGGUCCACCUAGUGUACCUAUAAAUGUAUCAGCCAUAUCAAUGAUACGGAGCCCCCGGACUACAUUGGUAAUGAGAGUACAGAGGGUAAUGAGAGCCAGAGGGUAAUUGGAGCGGUGCGACUAGAGACAAAACUAGACCUCGUAUUCACUCGGUUGUCACUCGGGCACCUUCGGCAUGCUGCGAUCGCGUUUCUCUACUGUUCUUGACUCGCCAGUGCCACGCGUUGUGUGACCACGUAAGCUUGUCGAUUUUUUGCUCCGCGCUUAUAAAAAAUACGAAAUUUCAUCGGCCAGAUGUCAAAAAAACCCUGAUAUUGACCCUGCUGUAAGUUCAUCUAUACUAAGUGAGCUACAAGUAGAAACAUCUACAACAAAUAGUACACAAAACAUGUCGCCAAACACAAUCCCUUAUAAAAUCCCGUUUAUAUCGAAUGAUAUCAAAUGACCGCAACAGUCGAAAAUUCUACAAUCAGUUACUUUAAUCUUUAAUAUCCAAACAUCUGCUUGUUACAAAACUGCAACUGAAAAUUAGAUUUUGAGAAAGUUAAGAAUACACGUCGCGUCAAAGAAAACAUUCAGUAAUAUUAUCUAGCACACCAAUGAAAACAGCAUUUGAAGAGAAGGAGAAGAAACGUUUAGAGAAAAAAUGUAAAACUAAAAUCAUUGCAAAGAAGGGAGCAACCAGCAACAAAGAAAGAAAAUGUCCCGCAGCCAAAGGCGGAUGGAACAAGCAUUGCAGCCAACAAGAACGAAAAAGUAAAAAUGAAACUUUUGAGGAUGAAACUGAUACGUCAGAUGAAGAAGACCUUGAGAAUCUUUGCGAUGAUGAGUCAGAAUAUUCAGAAGAAGAGACAUUGUGUGCUAUUAGCUAGCGAUAUUGGAAAAAAUAACGAAAUCUGGUACCGUUGUAGAGGUUGCGGUAAAUGGGCUCAUAAAGAAUGUUCUGCUUCUGACAGUCCGGUUGAUUAUAUUUGCGUUUUUUGUUUGGAUCCUUAAACUUAAUUGUUGUACGGUUACGUUUAUA
rnacentral:lncRNA from 1 species